GCGAGGGCGGUGCGCCGGCGUCACGUGACUCCCCGCGGCAGGGUCGAGGCCGCAGCCGCAGCCUCAGCCGGAGCGGCGCGGGGCCGGCAGCGCCAUGUCGCUGCGGGAGCGGAGCGCGGGUGGCGCCGUCGAGACCGGGGAGGACGCGGCGGUGGCGCUGCCGGAGCCGGAUGGCCCGGACCGGUGCCUGUCGCUGCUGCCUUGGGACCGCUUCUCCGCCUGGGUGCACUGCGUGUGCGUGGUGGGCUUCGACCUGGAGCUGGGCCAGGCCGUGGAGGUAAUAUAUCCUCCACAUUCAAAACUCACAGAUAAAGAGAAAACCAAUAUUUGCUAUUUGUCUUUUCCAGAUUCUAAUUCAGGUUGUCUUGGGGACACGCAGUUUUGUUUUAGAUUUCGACGGUCUCCUGGAAGGAAAGUCUCAUUAUGUUGUUUUCUGGACCAAUUGGAUAGAGAUCUACCAGUUUACUUAAAGAAAGAUCCAGCAUAUUACUACGGCUAUGUAUAUUUCAGACAAGUUCGAGACAAAUCAUUAAAAAGAGGCUAUUUCCAGAAGUCACUGGUCCUCAUCAGCAAGCUACCUUAUGUCCAUCUCUUUCGCACCAUGCUUAAGCAAAUAGCACCAGAAUAUUUUGAAAAAAGUGAAGCUUUCCUGGAAGCAGUUUGUAGCGAUGUUGAUCGUUGGCCACCACCAAUUCCAGGGAAAAUAUUGCAUUUGCCUAUUAUGGGUAUUAUAAUGAAGUUGCGGAUUCCAACAUACCGUGACAAGCCUGGAACAACACCAAUAGUACAGAAUAUGCACCAGGCAGAUGCCCAGAUCUCCAUGGCUUUACCAACUGUUCAUGAAGUAGAUCUUUUCAGGUGUUUCUGUCCAGUGUUCUUUCACAUUCAGAUGCUUUGGGAACUAGUGCUGCUAGGAGAACCACUUGUCGUGAUGGCACCAUCACCAUCAGAAUCUUCAGAAACCGUGUUGGCACUUGUUAGUUGUAUUUCACCGUUGAAGUACUGCAGUGAUUUCAGGCCAUACUUUACUAUACAUGACAGUGAAUUCAAAGAAUAUACAACUCGCACACAGUCCCCACCAUCUGUCAUUCUAGGGGUGACAAAUCCUUUUUUUGCUAAAACACUUCAACACUGGCCUCACAUUAUCCGAAUUGGGGAUAUUAAACUUCCAGGUGAAGUUCCAAAGCAGGUGAAAGUGAAAAAACUGAAGAACCUAAAAACUUUGGACUCCAAACCUGGUGUUUAUACCUCUUAUAAACCAUACUUGAACAAAGAUGAAGAAAUUGUUAAACAGUUACAAAAGGGUGUACAACAGAAACGUCCUACAGAAGCACAGAGUGUGAUUCUUCGGCGAUAUUUUUUGGAAUUGACAGAAAGUUUCAUUAUUCCAUUAGAACGUUAUGUGGCAAGCCUAAUGCCUUUGCAAAAAUGCAUAUCACCAUGGAAGAGUCCACCACAGCUGAGGCAGUUUAGCCAAGAUGACUUCAUGAAGACACUGGAAAAAGCAGGACCACAGCUCACAUCAGGUUUAAAAGGAGACUGGAUAGGGCUUUACAGGCAUUUCUUAAAAUCACCGAACUUCGAUGGUUGGUUUAGGAGCCGGCAGAAGGAAAUGACACAGAAGUUGGAGGCCCUUCAUUUAGAAGCACUCUGUAAUGAGAACUUGGUUUUCUGGAGUCAGAAGCAUACUGAAGUAGAAACAGUGGAUCUUGUCUUAAAGUUAAAGAAUAAACUGUUGCAGGCUGACAGAGAACAUCUUCCAGUGAAAACUGACACUCUGCAAAAGCUGCAGACACACAUCAAUGAUAUAAUACUUGCACUUCCAGAUGACUUACAGGACAUCUUGCUCAAAUCUGGCACAUGAUUUCUACAGGGCUUUUUUUGCGCAGAAAACACAAGGGAAAUGUAGGUUCACAGAAGACAGUGGCUUACCAAGUUUGGAACUCAGCUGUAAAUAGUAUAUUAACACUACAAAUGGACUGUACUAAUAGUAUAGCCCACUAUACUAUUUUCACUGUUUUUUUCCACUGAAAUACCAAUGCAACUAAAGGAAUUCCUGUGUCUAACGGUAUUUGAAAUAAGUGCUCUUAAAGAAUAACCUGUGGGCGUAUGAAAUAUACCACAGCAUAGGACCACAGUGCAGUGCUGGCAUUGCAGAAUGUUUUCCAAUUGGUGCUGCUAUACCCAGUCCUGUUAACUCAGGGGUAAGCAAUAUUGAUCCUGUACUGUCCUGUUGAUGUAGUAUCUGAUUACUUUUUUUGUCUUUUUGUUUUCAUCUAGUGAUCCAUCCAACUGACCUGUUAUGUGACUUGGUCAGAAUUACAUGCUAGUUGAGGUACUUUACUGGUAAAUCAUUGCUUUCAAAACUGUUUCAGGGACAGUUGAAAUAAUCAGAUCAGUUCAUAACUUCCUUUCUACUUAGCAUCUUUCCAAACCGUAUUAAUUUAGCAUCUUUAAAGAAGAGAAGGCAGCUGACAAAAAUUUCUUGAAGAGAAGGCUCUUCCAUUCAAUGUCAGUUAAUUAGGGUGCUCUUACUCAUAUGCCUUAAAUAUAAAGUAAUCAUAUACUAACUGGUGGUUUUAAACUGCUGACAUUCAGGAUUUAAAGUGGAUCACUAGUGUAAAUGUAAGCAUGCAGUAUUCAUCACGGGAAAUAAACACAGUGGUGUUCUAAUACGGAUUUUUAAAUCAGUGAUUUCAGUAGAGUUAGCUGAUACACAAUCUGUUUCAGUUGGAAAUCAUAGCAGUUAGCUCCUGUUAUAACUUUUUUUUCACUUUAUAUUUUUUUACCUAUACCAGUAGGGUUUUUGAGGAGGUGAUGGGGCUAGAAGGCGAAGAUGUUGGCUUCAGCUGAAAAAAACCUAUGGAAGGGUCAAACUGUGGCAAGAAAGGAUUGUAGCAUGAAAUUAUUCUCGGUAUGUGACUUAGAUGAUGGGUCUGGUUUGUUUGCUUCUCCCCUCUCCUAUAUAAGCAAAGCUGUUUGGCAGCUUGUAGAGGCUGCUGCGUAGUCUGACUUGUUGAAGCUGUACCCUUUAGGUGAGCAGAAGUGCCUGAUGCAAUGGAGUGGUGGUGUAGUUUGAUCAUGCAUCAUGAUUGUAAUAUGAUAGUGCUUCAGGAUCCUCAGGGAAGCAAAUAGCAGGGACUGGCUUCCAAGCAAAAUUUAUCCAAUCUUCAUUCUAUUUGCUGUACACAUCUGAGAGGCCUUUGAGUAACAUGGAAGUUUCUCAGGGAAGUAGGCUGUGGGAAGUAGACUGCAAGCAGGAGUCUAUUCAGGUUUUUUUAAUGGAGUUGGUAUUAGUUUAAAUCCCUGAAUAACCAGAUGGUUAAACAAAAUUGGAAUAUUGUUCAAAAGAAAGACAAAAAAGACAAGUUGUACUGGGUUGUUUGCUGUCUUCAUCAGUGACUUGUAAUGGUCUUAAUGGUGGCUCAAGAGGACCUUAACCUAUAGCUACAAGUCUAGGCAAAAUGUAAUCACUAAAACAGGAACAGUCUUUCCUCAUUGCAGGUUUCUGAACUUGUCCCAUCUCCCUGCAGUCCUUUUACACUGAGCAUGCAUAUUUGGACUAGGGAUGCUUCAACUAUUUGUAGUGUUGCAUCAGAGGAAUUGUCAUCUGCAGAAGGCAGUUGCCAGCUUGGUGAGCUGGAACUUUCCCACCCCUGUUUUUUGUUUUUCUUUUAACUCAGUGUGUUUAAAAUACAGGAAAAUAGCUUGUACUAACCCUCAUUCAUCUGAAGCUUGAUCUCUAAAGGACAGUGCAGAAAAACUACUAAGUUGCACUAACUUUGCCUCAGUCUUCAUCCGACUUUAAAAAAAAAAAAUUUUUUUUUCUGUUAAUUGUAUAUAAGUAUGUACACACAUGCAUUGUGUGGACCAGGAUGGGAAAAAGUCCCUAAGUGAAGGAGAGAAUAUCUGGGUGAUUAGAAAGGGUCCUAAAAAGAGGUAGCAGCUGUUGAGUAAAGAAAUGCAAAAGAUAAAGCACCAACUGGGUCAUCAGAAGAUGUUAAGACUGCUUCAGUUAGUGUAACAGGAGAGUAAACUGGACAUAUAUAAACUUUGGGACAUCUCAUGUGUCUUUUAACCAACAUAAAAGUAAUGCCAGGUAUCAAAACACGAGAUAAAGUGCAGUCAGAUAUGGUCAAGGUGCAACUAGUGUUUAAGUCUUAACAUCUCUGACCUGAAUAGAGGAGAAUGAAUCAAAAGUAUGUUGUGAAUAAUAGUUAUGUAUGAUUAUACAGAGCAACCACUUACAUGAAUGUUGAAACACUAAUGAUUGACAAACAUUUCUAAAGCAAAUGUUAGAUUCUACUCAGAUAACGGAAAUAAAGGGAUCAAUUAAUGAAUUUGCUAUAGUAAGAAGAUGCCAGCUUGGAGGUCUAGAAAGUAAUUUAUUUCAAAAAAGAGCCCUUCACAUAUUUUGUAGCACACUUAUCCUCAGCUAAGUUCAGGGAAACUUAACUUUCCUGGCCAAAAAAAAGGUGUCGAUACCAAGUGCUCUGAAUAGGAAGUAGGUAAGUAUUGGAAGCCUAGAACCAGAAUCCUUAAAACUACUGGGAAAUUGAAAUCUAAUAGUUGAUCAGGAUCAUAUUAACAUCUUAAACACUAAAUAGGUUAAGUUAAAAUGUAACUUAUUUGAAACUGAAAUUGUAUAAAAAUAGAAUUUUCAAACUUAAAGCAGAUUUUUGAUUCAGAAGACCAUAAUUUAAAACAAGUAGGACUUUCAAUAUGACAUGUAAGAAGAGAACAGCUUAAGUUCAGACUCACUCACAGUAGCCUAUUGUUCGGAUCUGGUUCAGGAUCGUCUCUUUAUCAAGGCUAUUAAAGAUAUUUUUCUUUAAUGGAGCAUAAGUAAAUAGCUUCUGUUUGAAAAAAAUGUUAGCUCUUGUGUACUCACAUAGUUGCUAAUUAGCAUAGGUCCUGUGCUGUAACUCCCUUGAAAAUUUGUAGGGCUUUUAAUUGGACCAAUGUGCCCUUGGGGUAGGGUGCUCAGUCACUUAAGCAUUAAAUGCAGCUCAUCUUAUGUUGUCUCAAACUCAGUUAUCACCAUCCUCUAGCCUUUUCACCGUACCUGUGGAGGAAGUUGUUACAGCUGGUUACGAAAUCAAACCUUCGUUUCAAAAAAGGGGCAUGUUCCCAAUGAGCCAUGGCUUGUUUCAGUUUUAUUCCUGUAUUACUUCCCUGUAUGGCAGCUGGUUCCUGGCCCAGCAGCCAUUCGCUGCUGUGCUGCCAUGAUCACGCUCAGGUCAUAGACACAAUGUAAGAAAAAGAGUCUGCAGUAAUCAGUGUUCCUGGGCCAAAGAAUUUUGUUUCUGUGGGUUGUUUGUUGUUUUGGGUUUUUUUGUUUGUUCGUUUGUUUUUUAAUAAAUGACCUAGCCCUGUUGCUACUGGGCUAUACA